ensembl:processed_transcript B430010I23Rik RIKEN cDNA B430010I23 gene
AGUGAGUGUUGACAUCUGUCCUAACUCACUUCCCUAAACCACACUCAGCCUUCUCCAGCAAGAUCCAGCGUGAGGACAUCAAGCUGUUUCCUAACAGUGAGUGCCUUGUACACACUAGGCAACUAGCGAACAUUCACUGACAGAUUAUAAAACAGAGAAGGGGUGGAGAACAUCCAACAUGGGGAUUCUGUGUGCUCUUGUAAGAUGUUUCUGCAGUUCCACCCUCACCCUUCGCUCGUCCACUCAAUUCUUGGGGUGGUUUUACAAGAAGGAACUGGAAGCAGAUUCUGCUAUCAAUGAACUUUCAUCUUAAGGAGCCAAAACAGAGGCUGGAGCAAUGACUCAGUGGUUAAGAGCACUGGCUUGCUCUUCCAGAGAACCCUGGGGUCAAGUUCAAUUCUCAGCAACUAAGGACAGCUUACAACUGUCUGCAAUUCCAGUACCCUCUCUUCUGGCUUCUGUGGGCACUGCAUGUAAGUGCUGCAAAGACAUACACGUGACAAACACCUAAAAUAAUAAAAUAUGCUAUUUCUUUUAAAAGCAGAAGCAAGCACAGAGUGAGGAGUUAUCAUAUAGAAAGGAAGUAUUAGAUCCUGGAGUCCAGAGGGUGGGUAAAGAUAGAGCUAGAAGCCCCUGGGGUCUCCUUAAGGAGGGGGUCCAUGGGCUUGAUAUUUGUUAAGGUCACUGUUACACAGCCAUUCUGCUGUGGAUUGGAAAGAAACACUCAGCCACUGAAAGCUUGACACCCCAGCAUGCUGGUCCUGUUGAGAGACAUGGAUCAUGAGUACGCUAACUUCAUCAGUGGAUUAGUUUUCUCAAGGUGUCAGAGCUGAAUGGGCUGUUAGGAGGUAGAACAUGAUUGGAAGUGGGGUUUUAAAGGGUACAGUUUGUGUCUGGCCUCUUCCUUUCUCUUUUUCUUUCUCUCUUUGUCUGUCUGUCUCUCUGUGUCUCUUUCGGUUUCUCUCUGUUUUAUUAUCUUGCGCUCUCUCUCUCUCUCUCUCUCUCUCUCUCUCUCUCUUUCUUGUCUAUGAUGGCGUGAGUCACUAUCUCCAUCACUUGCUUCCUGUCAGGGUGUUCUGCCUCACCCAAAAACAAUGGACC